GUUGAUUCCAAAACUCACGGCUGCCGUCUAUGACUGUGGAGCUUGUUGGCAAGGAGAUCUCUUGGAACUUUGGGGAAACUACAGCAACAGGAGGCUUGUUUACCCGUGGCUCUGUCAGGUGGAAAAUAAGAAGUUUUUCGUCUUACCUGGGGGAAGUGGCGGCACCACAAAGGCAUUAAGCUCGACAGAGUUCCGUGGUAGUGUGACCUCAACACUUUCCCCCGCUGACACCACCAGCUCCCUCACUGGCAUGGAACACACAAGGAAAGUUGCCAACAGGAAAAGCAUGUCAACAAUAAGAAUGUAACAAAAGAUCUGCGUCUACAAGUCAGAGGUGCUAAAUGUGUCGAGGUGCCCGUCAACGCCGUGUCCGCUGAUCACGGCUUGGACCGAGCUUCCGUGUCUCAUAGUAGGUGGGUAGACUAGCCGCCACUGAAGCCGUGCCUCUCGUCUGCAAGGCAUGGCUUCGGCCGGGCUGGCUCAUACAUACUGUCUGAGAGUCUGUUGUUAGUUAGAAGUGAUCCACAUAUCAUCUAAAUAUGGCUCGAAACAAUAAGGUAAUGUUAGUUAGAAGUGAUCCGCAUAUCAUCUAAAUAUGGCUCGAAACAAUAAG